rnacentral:misc_RNA from 1 species
UUUCCGUAGGUGAACCUGCGGAAGGAUCAUUACUGAGACCGGGUCCUGUCAUUCAGGCCCGACCUUCAACCCUGUGUUUAAAGACCUUGUUUCUUUGGCGGUUAAAUCGCCAGAAGCAAUCUGAAAUUCUUUAUCAAUGUAUCUUCUGAAUAAAAUAUAAAUAAAUAAAACUUUCAACAACGGAUCUCUUGGUUCUG